UACGAAGGGGGCUAGCGUUGCUCGGAAUCACUGGGCGUAAAGCGCACGUAGGCGGACUCUUAAGUCGGUGGUGAAAUCCUGGAGCUCAACUCCAGAACUGCCUUCGAUACUGAGAGUCUCGAGUCCGGGAGAGGUGAGUGGAACUGCGAGUGUAGAGGUGAAAUUCGUAGAUAUUCGCAAGAACACCAGUGGCGAAGGCGGCUCACUGGCUCAUAUCUGACGCUCAGGCGCGACAGCGUGGGGAUCAAACAGG
rnacentral:rRNA from 1 species